ACCGCCGCGCCCAUCCGCCUGUAACCGUCGUGCCUCUCCGCUCACAACCGUCGUGCCUCCCUCGGAAAGCAAAUCGUCGUCCAGAUCUGCAUUGCCGAGCCGUCCAGGUCCUCGCCGCCGCUCGUGCUUCACCUUGUAGUUCGCCGUAACCCAGAUCCAUCGCUGUCCGAUCUCUUCUCCUCGUCCCGCCGUCGCCGCUGCACUCGCCUGAAGUCAUCGUCCGUCCUGUUUCGCGAAGCUCCGCCGCUCCACCUGUUAUCGACGCCGGCCGACUAGCUACUAUUAAAAAAAAAAAAUCCAAAACCCUUCUGCCUUCGUUUGCAAAACGUCGCGGCGUGAAUUCUGCCUUCUAAUCGUGGAUUUGACCUCCAAGUUGUGAGUUGAUUGGUUAUUGUGGAUAUAGUAAUAUUGUUCUUGGCUAGUAAGUUUUAAAAACUGGUUAAUUGAUUUGGGUAAUGCUGAUUUUAAGGUGAUACUGAAGAGGUCGUGCUUAGAUAUCUAAGUUCCAACGUGAGCUUCAUUGGAAUUGUUGCUUCAUUCUACUUGGAAUUUGUCUUAUUGAAUUUAGCCCGAUUGAAAAACUUACAUAACCUUGAGGUAAGGGAUUUUCUACUGGACUCACCUAAAGUUUUUGAGUUGUGUUGGACUGUAUGGAUGAUGAUUAAGAUGUACAUGUUUGAUUGCAGACUAAAUGUUUAGUGUAUGUUGUAUUUGACUGGAAACAUAUAUAUAUACAUUGAUGUGUGAAUUGAUGUGGAUUGCCGAAAGUAUACAUGUGAAUGACUGAAAUUAUGCUUAUGUGUACAUGAUGAUAUUAAUAGAUUGUGCUGUAUAAAGAUUGGAUGUGAACUAGUGAAUUUGUUUCGGUUGGAUGUGGAUUAUACUGAACUGUGGUUUGUGCUGGUGAACUGAGGGGUGUAUUGACUUGACUGUAUAGUGGAUUGACUGAUGUAUUAGCAUUUUAUUGACAGACAUAUGAUUGUAGUAAAAUAAGUUGACUGUUAGGAUGUUGAAAGAAAGGACUUUGUGAUUUGAAGUAACUGAAAGAUGGGUUGAAUGGAAUGAGGGGAUAAAUUGUUAGGUUGUAUUGGGAUGUUUACCUUGUAGGUGUCCCACGGGAUCACCAAUUUAUUUUGCACCUUCGGGAGCAUUUGACUGAUAUGUGUUUCUGCAGAACACUUGACUGAUAUGUACGUCCCUCGGGGCGUUAGACUGAUAUGUACGUCCCUCGGGGCGUUAGACUGAUAUGUACGUCCUUCGGGGCGUUAGACUGAAUGUGUAUCCUACGGGAUCACAAGACUGCGACUGUACAGGGUGUCCCAAUAGAACUUUAACAAUUUAUUUUCCCCUGACGAGACCAGUAGAGGGUCUCUUACUGAGUAUUGUUAUACUCACCCUUCUUAUGUUUAAUUUUCAGGCAAAGGAAAUAAAGGUGGCAAACCGGCGAGGGGCAGGAAGGAAGCGUGAUUGCCAUAGGAAUGUGUUAUUUUGCUUCCGCUUAUGAUUUCUUUUAAGGUUUAAGAUGUACUAAAACUUAGUUUACAAACUUUUAUUUGUAAAUAGUGUUAUUUUAAGUUUUCUUGAAUAUUUGAAAAUCAGGCCUGACAUAUGUUUUGUUUUUAAAUUGACUUACGUUUCAUUUGUAUCAACCAAAGUCUUUUGUAAAAAUAAUAACGACCUCGACUUACUAGAAAAGUUGGGUCGUUACAGUUGGUAUCAGAGCCUAAGUUUUAGGUUCUGUAGACUGACUUACGAUGUAAGUCUAUGUUUUUGUGUAUGGCUAACGCGACCCUUCGUCUCUCGUCAGGUAUGCUUGAUGCUUAUAUGUAUGGUUUAUUUGCAUGACCUUGCCUAAAUUAAACUAGAUUGCAUGACGAUAAAGACUUGCUUAUGUUAUAUGAUUAAGAUUUUGUUAAAGAGUGUUGUUGGUGGAUAAUAGGAAUUAUGCCGCCAAGGGAAGAAGUACGUAGAGGAGGUCGUAGAGGCCGAGGUAGAGGAGCAGGAGGCCGAGGUAGAGGAGCAGGUCGUAAUCAGCCUACUGAGGGUCAAGCUGAACAGCGAAUUCCUGCUGCACCCGUGACUCACGUCGAGUUUGAUGCACUGUCUGCUCACAUGGAGCAGAGGUUUACAGAACUUAUGACAGCUAUAGCUCAAAACCAGCAGGCACCUGCAGUCCACCUGCACCUGUAGUUCCCCCUGCACCAGCAGCCCCCUCCUGCACAAGAAUUACCUAACCAACUUUCUGCUGAGGCGAAACAUUUGAGGGACUUUCGGAAGUAUGACCCUCAGACGUUUGAUGGGUCACUGGAGGAUCCUACUAAAGCUGAAAUGUGGUUGUCCUCUGUGGAAACCAUAUUUAAUUACAUGAGAUGUCCGAGGAGCACAGAGUUCAGUGUGCUGCUUUUCUACUGAGGGACAGAGGCAUUAUCUGGUGGAGGACUACAAUGCGCAUGCUAGGUGGAGAUGUGAGGCAAUUACCUGGGAUCAGUUUAAGAACUGCUUCUAUACCAAGUUUUUCUCGGCUAACCUUAGAGACGCCAAAAGCCAGGAAUUCUUGGAGUUGAAGCAAGGAUAUAUGACAGUCGAGGAGUACGACCAGGAGUUUGAUAUGCUGUCACGUUUUGCCCCUGAGCUUGUUAGUAAUGAGCAGGCUAGAGCUGAUAGGUUCGUCAAGGGAUUGAGAGAUGAAAUUAGGGGUUUUGUGCGAGCACUAAAGCCCACUACCCAAGCUGAAGCACUGCGUCUGGCAGUGGAUAUGAGUAUUGGGAAGGAUGAAAGACAGCCAAGGAGCUUUAAUAAGGGAUCGUCGUCGGGUCAAAAGAGAAAAGUAGAGCAGAGAACUGUAGGAGUUCCUCAGAGGAACAUGAGACCAGGUGAUUCUUUUCGCAGUUUCCAGCAGAGUUCUGGCGGUGCAGGAGACACUACUCAGAGAGGCCAGUAUGUAAUACGUGUGGGAAACGCCACCUGGGUCGUUGUUUGAUGGGAACGAGAGUCUGUUAUAAGUGCAAGCAAGAGGGACACAUGGCUGAUAGGUGUCCCUUGAGAUCUACUGGGCUGGAUCGAGCAGUCAGGGAGAGAGACCUCCACAGCGGGGUACAAUCUUUGCCACUAAUAGAUCAGAGGCAGAGAAGGCCGGCACAGUAGUGACAGGUACAUUACCAGUGUUAGGGCAUUUUGCCUUGACCUUGUUUGACUCGGGAUCUUCUCAUUCAUUUAUUUCAUCGCUUUUUGUGACGCAUGCAUGCUUAGAGGUGGAACCCUUAGACUAUGUUUUGUCAGUGUCUACACCGUCUGGAGAAAUUAUGUUGUCUAAGGAAAAGAUUAAAGCAUGUGAAAUUGAGAUAGCUGGUCGUGUGCUGGACGUAACCUUGUUGGUAUUAGAUAUGCGUGACUUUGAUGUAAUUUUAGGUAUGGAUUGGCUAGCUACUAAUCAUGCUAGUAUUGAUUGUUCUCGUAAGGAAGUUGUGUUCAGUCCCCCUACUGCAUCUAGCUUUAAAUUCAAGGGGUAGGAACAGUAGUACUGCCUAAAGUAAUCUCAGCUAUGAAAGCUAGUAAACUACUCAGCCAGGGUACUUGGAGUAUUUUGGCAAGUGUGGUGGAUACUAGGGAAGGUGAGACUUCUUUAACUUCAGAACCUGUGGUAAGAGACUACCCAGAUGUAUUUCCAAAAGAUCUUCCAGGACUACCGCCACAUAGAGAGGUUGAUUUUGCCAUUGAGUUGGAGCCAAACACUACUCCUAUUUCUAGAGCCCCUUAUAGGAUGGCUCCUACUGAGUUGAAAGAACUGAAGGUACAGUUACAGGAAUUGCUUGAUAAAGGCUUUAUUCGACCUAGUGUGUCACCUUGGGGUGCACCAGUAUUGUUUGUGAAGAAGAAGGAUGGGUCGAUGCGUCUUUGCAUUGACUAUAGAGAGUUGAAUAAAGUAACAGUCAAGAACAGAUAUCCUUUACCCAGAAUCGAUGAUUUGUUCGAUCGGUUACAGGGAGCCACGGUGUUCUCUAAGAUUGACUUACGGUCAGGUUAUCACCAGUUGAGGAUUAGAGACCGUGAUAUUCCUAAGACUGCUUUUCGUUCGAGGUAUGGACAUUAUGAAUUCAUAGUAAUGUCUUUUGGUUUGACUAAUGCACCUGCUGUAUUUAUGGAUUUGAUGAACAGGGUGUUUAAGGAUUUCUUGGACACUUUUGUGAUAGUCUUCAUUGAUGAUAUUUUGGUUUAUUCCAAGACUGAAGCCGAACAUGAGGAACACUUACAUAAGGUGUUAGAGACUCUUCGAGUCAAUAAACUGUAUGCUAAGUUCUCGAAGUGCGAAUUUUGGUUGAAGCAGGUGGCUUUUCUUGGUCAUGUGGUUUCCAGUGAGGGAGUUUCAGUAGACCCUGCAAAGAUAGAAGCGGUUACCAGUUGGUCUCGACCCUCUACAGUUAGUGAGGUUCGUAGUUUUCUGGGUUUAGCAGGGUACUACCGGAGGUUUGUGGAGGAUUUUUCACGUUUGGCUACUCCUUUGACUCAGUUGACAAGGAAGGGAACUCCGUUUGUUUGGAGUCCAGCUUGUGAGGAUAGUUUUCAGAACUUAAGCAAAGGUUAGUUACUGCACCGGUCCUUACGGUACCAGAUGGAUCUGGAAGUUUUGUGAUUUACAGUGAUGCUUCCAAGAAAGGACUGGGUUGUGUUUUGAUGCAGAAAGGUAAGGUGGUUGCUUAUGCCUCUCGUCAGUUGAAGAGUCACGAGCAGAACUACCCCACACAUGAUUUGGAGUUGGCAGCAGUGGUUUUUGCAUUGAAGAUAUGGAGACAUUACUUGUACGGUGAAAAGAUACAAAUCUUUACUGACCAAAGAGCCUAAAGUACUUCUUCACUCAGAAGGAGUUGAAUAUGAGACAGCGAAGGUGGCUCGAGUUGGUAAAAGAUUAUGACUGUGAGAUAUUGUACCAUCCUGGUAAGGCGAAUGUUGUGGCUGAUGCUCUUAGUAGAAAAGUAUCACAUUCGGCAGCACUCAUUACUAGACAGGUACCAUUGCAUCGAGACUUGGAGAGAGCUGAGAUUGCAGUGUCUGUGGGGAGAGUCACCUCACAGCUAGCUCAAUUAACGGUGCAACCGACUCUGAGGCACAAGAUUGUUGAUGCUCAGAGUAGUGAUCCUUAUUUAAUGGAGAGACGUCGCCUUGUUGAAACAGGGCAGACUGAUGAGUUCUCCAUAUCCUCUGAUGGUGGGUUGAUGUUUGAAAGACGUUUAUGUGCCAGCGAACAGUACAGUUAAGAUUGACUUACUAGAUGAAGCCCAUAAUUCCCCAUGUUCCAUGCAUCCUGGUAGCACGAAAAUGUAUCAGGAUUUAAAACGAUUUUACUGGUGGCGGAAUAUGAAAAGGAAGUGGCGGAAUUUGUUAGUAAGUGUCUAGUAUGUCAGCAAGUUAAGGCACCUAGACAGAAACCAGCAGGUUUGUUACAACCCUUAAGUGUGCCAGAGUGGAAGUGGGAGAAUGUGUCGAUGGAUUUUAUUUCAGGGCUGCCUAAGACCCUGAAGGGUUUUCACAGUGAUUCUGGUUGUCAUAGACAGGCUUACGAAAUCGGCACAUUUUAUACCAGGAAAAUCCACUUAUACUGCUAGUAAGUGGGCAGAGUUGUAUUUAACUGAGAUUGUGAGACUGCAUGGAGUGCCUGUAUCGAUUGUUUCUGAUAGGGAUGCACGGUUUACUUCCAAGUUUUGGAAGGGACUUCAGACUGCUAUGGGUACAAGAUUGGAUUUCAGUACAGCCUUUCAUCCACAGACUGAUGGUCAAACUGAACGUUUGAACCAAGUUUUAGAGGAUAUGCUACGAGCUUGUGUUCUAGAGUUUCCAGGUAGUUGGGACUCUCAUCUACAUUUAAUGGAGUUUGCUUAUAACAACAGUUUCCAGGCUACCAUCGGUAUGGCGCCAUUUGAAGCUUUGUAUGGUAAAUGUUGUAGAACCCCUGUUUGUUGGAGUGAGGUUGGUGAACAUAGGUUGAUGGGACCUGAAUUAGUUCGGUCUACUAAUGAGACUAUUCAAAAGAUUAGAGCACGUAUGCAAACAGCGCAGAGUAGACAGAAGAGUUAUGCAGAUGUACGGCGAAAAGACCUUAAGUUCGAUGUGGGAGAAAAGGUAUUCUUGAAGGUAGCACCUAUGAAGGGUGUUAUGCGUUUUGAGAAGAAAGGAAAGUUAAGUCCUCGUUUUGUUGGACCAUUUGAGAUCUUAGAGAGGGUUGGUGUUGUGGCGUAUCGCUUGGCAUUACCACCAUCUCUCUCUGCAGUUCAUAAUGUUUUCCAUGUUUCGAUGUUGAGGAAGUAUGUGGCCGAUACAUCUCAUGUAGUGGACUAUGAACCCUUGGAGAUUGAUGAGCAUUUGAGCUAUGUAGAACAACCUGUGGAGAUUCUGGCUAGAGAAAUAAAGAUGCUUCGUAAUAGAAGCAUUCCAUUAGUAAAGGUUUUGUGGCGGAAUCAUCGAAUUGAAGAGGCGACAUGGGAGCGAGAGGAAGAGAUGAGGACUCGUUAUCCAGAGUUAUUUCAGGAGUAAAACUUUCGAGGACGAAAGUUUCUUAAGGAGGGAAGAAUGUAAUGCCCCAAAGGUGUAUAUAUAUAUAUAUAUUUGUUUUUAUUAUAUAUAUAUAUAUAUAUAUAUAUAUAUAUAUAUAUAUAUUAUAUAUAUAUAUAUUUAUUUAUAUUUAAUUUAAAUAAAAAGACAAGAAAAAGAAAUUUAUCUCUCUCUCUCUCUCGCGCGCUGCACAGCCCCCCCCCCCCCCGUUCUCUUCUCUUUUCCUUUCUCUUUUCUCUUCUCCCUUCCGUCUCCUUCCGUUCGCAGCCAGCAACCGCCGCCCCUUCUUCUCUUUUCUUCCUCUUUCGUUCGACGUCGACGAUCAGACCAAGCCGAAAACGAAAACCCAUCCCUCUUUUCUUCUUCGGAUCUAAACCGCCGCGCCCAUCCGCCUGUAACCGUCGUGCCUCUCCGCUCACAACCGUCGUGCCUCCCUCGGAAAGCAAAUCGUCGUCCAGAUCUGCAUUGCCGAGCCGUCCAGGUCCUCGCCGCCGCUCGUGCUUCACCUUGUAGUUCGCCGUAACCCAGAUCCAUCGCUGUCCGAUCUCUUCUCCUCGUCCCGCCGUCGCCGCUGCACUCGCCUGAAGUCAUCGUCCGUCCUGUUUCGCGAAGCUCCGCCGCUCCACCUGUUAUCGACGGCGGCCGACUAGCUCUUAUUAAAAAAAAAAAAAAUCCAAAACCCUUCUGCCUUCGUUUGCAAAACGUCGCGGCGUGAAUUCUGCCUUCUAAUCGUGGAUUUGAC
rnacentral:lncRNA from 1 species